GCCUUGAAGUUCAGUUCAGGGCAGCAUCUCUGUUCUGUUAAUUAAACUCAGGGACAUCAAACUGGCUAGGGUAGCUGACGGCUAGAAAAUAUUUCUCUAUUAAUUUACCUCCUAGCCAUAAAAA
ensembl:snoRNA